CUUCUACGUGUCCUUUACGUCUCAGGACCUGUAACCAUGUAAUAAAUAAAUAAAUACACAAAUAAAAUAAAAAUAAUCUCCUAACCAUGAACCAUUUGGGCCUACAGAGACGGUACAAGUGAGCAAUAGCCUACAGAAUAAUAUAGGAGGGAAACAAAACGAUUACAAUAUGACAGACUGAAGGAUUUAAUUAAAUAAUAUUAGAAAUAUAUUUAGUUUUCUGAAACAAAUUAAAUCACUCUGUGAAUUUGAAUCCAAAUAUUUAAAACUAUUUAUGAAUCGAAUCAGGAUGAAAAUGUUACUCAUUUUAUUCUCUCUUGAUUAAUCAUCACAUUUCUAGUUGAAUAUAAACAAAAAAAUUAUCUAAACAUCAGACAAAUGAUUUUUUUUGUUUGCCUCUGGAGGAACUUCAUAAGAUCAACUAAGAUUAUUUGUUAAGUUUAAUCUUUACUCCUUUGUCCAGAGUUUUACAACCUCAGGCUCCAACAUUUAGAUUCUUUAGGAACCAACUAAUAUUUUUGAUAUUGAUGUAAUAACACAUCCAGGUUUUAGCAGUUAUUUUUUCAUUAAAUAAUUUCACUUCUAUUCUCUCUCUGAAUUUCCACAGUAGAAAGAUACUAAAAGUACCAGUGUCAUUUCUUUAUGUCAGUUUUCUUCUCAUCUGUUAUGUUUAGUAGUUUAAAGGAAGCGAGACACAAACCACAGUUUGGAAUGAUAGAAAUGAUUUAUUAUAAACGAACAAGCCUAGGCAGCAACAGCACAAGGAAAAACGUAAAGUGUUCAUUUGUAGGCAGGCAAAACCUGAGACACAGUAACAGUUAUGAAGCAAGAAACAAACGUACAUUUUGUCAAAUGUCAUCAAAAUCCUCAACAAUAAUCAUCAUUAACUGAUAUAUGAAUCAAUGUUAGUUACUAAUAAUCAAAUACAAUUCUAAAAGAUUUUUAACCUUGAUUUAAAGCUGCAGUUUGUAACUUUUAUUUUAAAAAAGUAUAUUUUGUUUACAUAUUUGUUGAAACUAUCCUGACAGUAUAUAAUGAGAAAAGAUGAUUUCUCCUCUGCCUUUUCCCACUGCUGAUUAGAAACAACCAAUCAGAGCGAGGAGGAGGCAGAUAAACGGUUUUCCUGUAACGGUCUGUUGUUUCUCUGCCAUUAGCACAUUUAGCAGCAAGUGCAUGAGGAUGAUUGACAGUGGUAAGACCCUUCUCCUGGAUCAUUAAUGCUACGACUGCUUGUAUUUUAAUCUACCAUUAUGUACUUGCAUCAGGAAAUAAAAGUGUUAUUUUUUUAAUGAUUUAACAUUUUUAAAAACAUGAAUACAAAAUAUUGCUGCACUUUGACGUGUAUGGAGAUAAUUUAGGCCUUAUCCUGCCAACAUAAAAAGCUAUAAAGAUGUUUUCAGAAUUGGCACAGUGAGAUCUUGUAAAGCUGAGGAACCUUAACCAGGAGCAUGAACUGAACAGAAAUGACCCAAGAAAAGAGAUUUCUGUUGUUCAGUUUUUCUCUGAUUUAAGUUUGAAAGUUUCUUAAAUCAGUGAUGUCAACUUUCAAUAUUUUUAUUUGAUCUUACUUUGAUAAUAAUUACAACAAAUUCUCUUUUUAUUUAACUCGUUUGUUUUUUCAUUAUAUGCUUUAUUUACAAGCCUAAACCUGAAAAGCUGUUUGAGUUCAUGAGCACUUGAGCAAUUUGAUGGUAUUGUAAAAAAUAUUCUUAUGUAAAAGAUUAUUUUAUUUAGAGGAAUAACAUACAAAAAAUACAAUUUACCACCUAAAAAAAUAGAAAUCUAGAUUGCACAAGAAAUUGCAAUAGGUGCAUUAGGUUUUGCCAUUCUGUCCAUUUUAGUUUUUAAUUAUUUCAAUACCUAUUGUAGGGGAAAUAUUUCAUCAUGCAGGCACUGUUCUAAAGGUGAAAAAUUGCGAAACUAGGAAGUUGUGCUAAACGGUUUGACUCUCCGUAGAAAUAAGAACGAAAGAGGGGAGAGCAAAACACAUUAUUCAGACAGCCAACCUGAAUCAGUGACAAUAAACGGAGCAAAUACUUUGCCACAGGACUUCACAUUUUUAAAGUUGUUUGAUUUCACUGAUAGUUAAAGGUAAUUUAGUCAUUUCUCUUCUUGCAGUGGGACUGAGUUUUUGUCAUCCACAGAAACUUUGAAACUGGAAGAACAAACGACUCCGUGGUUCUGCAGCACCAACGGCAGGCAGGCAGGCAGGCACUGAAAACGGUCCAGGGAGGAAAACCACAUGAGGAACAUCAGAGCUGCUUAACUCCUUCCUAUCUGAGCUCUGAACUGUGGAAACCCUGUGUAUCCAGGACCGCUAUCCUCACGCUGCCAACUUCCUACUUCCUGAUGCCAACAGAGACAUCAGGAAGUCUCUCAUGUCUCUGUAAACUCAAUUUAAAAAAUAUCCUUUGCAAACAGUAAGUCCCUGCAGAGAAACAGGUUUUAUUAUUUAAAGCUACAGGAAUGAAGAGAUAAAUGUUUUAUACACACCCAGCUUUAGGAUUCAACAGAAAGGCAGGCAGAUUUUGUGAUUUUAGUUACAUUACUAACCUUAAUGUCAUGUUAUGAAGGAGUGAAUCGUGCUUAAGCUGAACUCUGUAAUUACUGCCGGUUGUCUUUUUAUGUAACUUGUUUGUUUUAAUCACUUCUUGCUUCAUUUUCAAGCCCAAACCUGAAAAACCUCUCAAGUUCAAAAGCAUCUGAGCAGUUGGGUUUAUUUUAAAAAUGAUUCCAAGGUAAAAGGUUGUUUUCUUUAGAGGAAUACUGUUUGAUGCAUCAAAUACUGAUAAACAUGUAGACUGUAGCACAAAUUGAUCGUUUCAGUUUUGGAUCAUUUCUAAACAUAUUUAGUAUCUGUAAUUUAGUCCAAACAUUCAGAAAAAUGUUAAAAUGUAGAUAAAUACUAAAAAUCUCCCAAACACUCUCACAAAAUGACAAGAUUUAAUAUUCAAAACUACAUUUUUAUGUGAUUCAUCACGUCUUGAGAGGAAGGGUCACCUUUUUAGGUUUUUUAACAUGUAGGCCGCAGGCCUUAAGGAAACAUCUUCCAUCCACAUGGUUCUCUCCUGACAUUUUAUAUUUUAUAUAUGCAUGACUGCAAGACUGCCUUUAAAAACAGGCAUCACUUUAAGUUUUUCUGAUGACUUUGUUACACCUAAUUUUUCAGUACCUUCAGCAUCUUUUAUGAGAGAAAACAAAAAUCUGAACCUGGAUAUAACAGCAAAAUAAUGGAAAUGUCAGAGAAGAGGAGUUCAAAUCCUAUAUGUUCAUCAUGUUUUAUUGAAGUCUCACAAAUCCCACACUUGGUUUUAAAUAUUCUACUAUUAGUUGAGCAUAAUCCAGUCCAGGUUUGAAGAGUCUAGGCUUUGUAGUUCUUUUAACUGCAGUAGAUUAAAGAUGCUGAAUGUAGCAAUAAAUAAGGUGGAAUCGCCCUUUAGCCAUUUCCCGAAUCGGAAACCAACUUCAGGUCGUGAGGAACCGAGAAUCGUUCAGUCAGUAUUAGACCCGUUCUGGCUGCUACUCAUUUAUUUUGGUAAAUUGUUAUUUUUAGCUAAAUUCUGUUGCUAAGUGGCUCGAGCAGGCCUUCUGAUGCACAGAUAAAACAUAAAUAAAUGUAUUUUUAUGAUGGCAACCAAGGGUCGGUGAUCUGUUUCCACUACAAAAGACGGUGGAACAUACACAUAGUUACGAAACUGUAAGUUUGCCAAAUAAAGAGUAAAUAUGACCAAGUUCACAGGAUUUGCUGCUGAUGAAGAGGGGACUAAAAACAGUUAAAUAUUUAUCUCCCAUGUUAUGUAUGGGGAACGGAUUAUUUCAGGCAGCUAAAAUAUGUGGUUCCCCCUCAUAACUUUGUCAAAUAAUGUCAAAUGUUUUCAAAUUCUCAAAAAUGGUUAUGUACUAUACUAGAAAUGUCCUUAAUCCAGUAAUCUGUCAUAUUUUACAUUAGAACAGGAUUUACCAGAAAGGCUACACUCUCGUCUUUUCAGGAAGUCUUCAUUUUUGUGCCAUGCUUUCAGCCAUCCUCUUAUAUCAGCAAUGAAAAAUUAUAAAUACACACAACGUGUU